AAUUAUGGCCAUGCCGCCAUGAGUGUGUCCAAUCUCAUCUGAUCUCGGAAGCUAAGCCUGGUUAGUACUUGGAUGGGAGACCACUUAGGAAUACCGGGUGCUGUAGGUG
rnacentral:rRNA from 1 species